CCGUUGAAAUUAAGCGGAACGAUGACGGUACCUGCCUAAAGCCCCGGCUAACUACGUGCCAGCAGCCGCGGUAAUACGUAUGGGGCGAGCGUUGUUCGGAAUUAUUGGGCAUAAAGGGCGUCUAGGCGGGGAAUUAAGUUAGGUGUGAAAGCCAUGGGCUCAACCCGUGAAUUGCAUCUAAAACUGAUUCUCUUGAGUUCGGGAGAGGAGAGCGGAAUUCCUGGUGUAGCGGUGAAAUGCGUAGAUAUCAGGAAGAACACCAGUGGCGAAGGCGGCUCUCUGGCCUAGAACUGACGCUGAAGCGCGAAAGCGUGGGGAGCGAACGGGAUUAGAUACCCCGGUAGUCCACGCCGUAAACGUUGUGUACUAGGUGUUAGUGCUUUAAGCACUAGUGCCGACGCUAACGCAUUAAGUACACCGCCUGGGGAGUACGCCCGCAAGGGUUAAACUCAAAGAAAUUGACGGGGGCCCGCACAAGCGGUGGAGCAUGUGGUUUAAUUCGAUGAUACGCGAAGAACCUUACCAGGGCUUGAACUGUUUCUGACAGGUGUAGAGAUACACCCUCCUUCGGGCAGAUUCAGAGGUGCUGCAUGGUUGUCGUCAGCUCGUGUCGUGAGAUGUUGGGUUAAGUCCCGCAACGAGCGCAACCCUUACUCCUUGUUGCUAUCAGGUCAUGCUGGGCACUCUAGGGGAACUGCCGGUGAUAAACCGGAGGAAGGUGGGGAUGACGUCAAAUCAGCACGGCCCUUAUGUCCUGGGCUACACACGUGCUACAAUGGCCGGUACAAUGAGUUGCGAUGCCGCGAGGUGGAGCUAAUCUCAAAAAACCGGUCUCAGUUCGGAUUGCAGUCUGCAACUCGACUGCAUGAAGCUGGAAUCGCUAGUAAUCGGAGAUCAGCACGCUCCGGUGAUACGUUCCCGGGCCUUGUACACACCGCCCGUCACACCAUCCGAGUUGGCAGCACCCGAAGUGGCUGAGCUAACCGUUUACGGAGGCAG
rnacentral:rRNA from 1 species